AGUGAACGCUGGCGGUAGGCCUAACACAUGCAAGUCGAACGGCAGCACAGUAAGAGCUUGCUCUUACGGGUGGCGAGUGGCGGACGGGUGAGGAAUACAUCGGAAUCUACUUUUUCGUGGGGGAUAACGUAGGGAAACUUACGCUAAUACCGCAUACGACCUACGGGUGAAAGCAGGGGAUCUUCGGACCUUGCGCGAUUGAAUGAGCCGAUGUCGGAUUAGCUAGUUGGCGGGGUAAAGGCCCACCAAGGCGACGAUCCGUAGCUGGUCUGAGAGGAUGAUCAGCCACACUGGAACUGAGACACGGUCCAGACUCCUACGGGAGGCAGCAGUGGGGAAUAUUGGACAAUGGGCGCAAGCCUGGUCCAGCCAUACCGCGUGGGUGAAGAAGGCCUUCGGGUUGUAAAGCCCUUUUGUCGGGAAAGAAAAGCAGCAGGUUAAUACCCCGCUGUUCUGACGGUACCCAAAGAAUAAGCACCGGCUAACUUCGUG
rnacentral:rRNA from 1 species